UGUAUUUUAUAAAUAGCCGCAGUAUUUUGACUGUGCUAAGGUAGCAUAGUCAUUAGUCUUUUCAUUGAAGGCUGGUAUGAAUGGUGGGACGAGAAAAUAUCUGUCUCUAAUUAGAAUUUUUGAAUUUCAUUUUUAAGUGAAAAAGCUUAAAUAAUUUUGAAGGACGAUCAGACCCUUUGGAGCUUUAUUUUUUAUUCAUUUUGAGUUUAUUUAAGAUAGCUAAAUUGGGUAAAAAAUUUUGUUGGGGCGACAAGGAGUAAAAAAUAACACUCUUUUACAUAAACAAUUUUAUUUGAAUAUUUUGAUCCUAGUAGAUAGAUUAGAAGACUAAGUUACCCUAGGGAUAACAGCGUAAUCUUCUUAGAGAGUUCUAAUCGAUAAGAAGGUUUGCGACCUCGAUGUUGGAUUAAGAAAUUAGCAAGGUGCAGAAGUUUUGCUGGAGAGUCUGUUCGACUUUUAAUAUCUUACAU
rnacentral:rRNA from 1 species